rnacentral:rRNA from 1 species
UGGGGAAUAUUGCACAAUGGGCGAAAGCCUGAUGCAGCGACGCCGCGUGAAGGAUGAAGUAUUUCGGUAUGUAAACUUCUAUCAGCAGGGAAGAAAAUGACGGUACCUGACUAAGAAGCCCCGGCUAACUACGUGCC